CGUUAGGCAAUCAGGUAGAGGUAGAAGUUAGGCAAGGAGGUAGAAGUUCAUUAACAGCCAACUGCCGAAUUCAGUCAGUGUAACAGCCCCGUUUUUAUUUUACUAUUUCAAAUCAGAUUUCUUCGACUGGUGUCAUCUCUCUGAAUGGUGUUCUGCAUAAACCGCAAAUAUUAGCAAAGAUUUUCUUUUGGUUUCAGCAGAGAAGUGGAAUGUGUCCAACAGCGUUUCUUUAACUUUGGGCGGCCAAAAUCUUUAAAUGAAACAAGUGAACUGGUGGCUAAAAUUUAAAAAAAGAGAAACUAAAACUUUGAAACGGCAUUGGCUGUGCACACACUAACCUCAUGUCUACUUGUAUUGCGCGCAUGUAGUUGUGUGUUUCCCCUGCCAAUAGCGGCCUCUAACAAGUUCGUUCUGCGUUGCCUUGUCUGUUGAACAUUUAUGGUAUUUCGUUAGACUAUAUUCACUUUGUAGUCAUUAAAGAAAAUCAUGUUGGAAGUAUGAAAGGCAAUGUAUCUUCUCUAGACGGUAAAAGCAUGUUUAAACCCGUUUUCAGUUAUCUUCCGUGGGCAUAUUGUGAAUAAAGGUGUAUUGAAUUCACGAAGUUCCCUCUUGACGCCUGUCAUCAGGACCUCAUCCGAGCAUGGAAACGAUUGGCAUGUGCAUGUGCCCCAAAAUAGCGUUGUUUCUGCGUCACCAUGGCAAUCUGUUUACCGUCCGCCAGAGGCGCUAGGGCCAAGUCGACCUAUUCCGAGUCAUUGGUUUAGAAGGAAAUGUACGAAUCGAGCGUCUACAAGUGCUCAUUCUGUCCAUUGAUUUGAACUUGAAUUAAAACUGACAUUCGGUCAGUUAACGGAGGUGAAAUGCAUCUGAUGUUUCUGCUCUGGGAAAGUGAAGUUGCGUUUGUGUCAGUGAGUUUAAUGUCGUUCUCGGUGACAGUGAUACGUCAGCUUAUUGUCUGCUUGUUGUCUCAUAAUGUGACGUAUAUAACAUUCUGUAUUACUGACAUCAUAUCACUCAGAAUGUUAUUUUAAUAUUCGAAUUCCAGUUAAAUGAAACCUGCCAAACCCGUGAACUUCGAAGCAGCGGCAAACCCUGAGCGCGGUUCGUGCGGUCUGUGCCUCCUCCUCUGCCGUAGUUUACUGGGGUGACGUAUCAAAACUAAUAGUACACUAAUGAGUCUGGUUGGUGGAAAAUGUUUUAGUGUAUUUUGUAAUGCAUCAUGGGAUCUUUCCAAAAUGAUCAAACUACAAAAGAGUGCUUAAUCUAGCUGCAUGAACACGUGAAUAUAUUAUAAUUUUUUUUUACCGGAGUUAAAUUGUCGGGAUUGUCCGGAACUGGAGGCAAAAUUUGCCUUGCCGUCCCGUCACUGUGCGUGGUGUUUCCCACAUCGACUCCCCCGACUCAAGCCGGCGUUCAGUAUCGCUUCUCGGCCUUUUGGCUAAGAUCAAGUGUAGUAUCUGUUCUUAUCAGUUUAAUAUCUGAUACGUCCCCUAUCUGGGGACCAUAUAUUAAAUUGAUUUUUGGAACAGGGAGAUGGAAUAGGGGCUUGCUCCGUCCACUCCACGCAUCGACCUGGUAUUGCAGUACAUCCAGGAACGGUGCAC